rnacentral:lncRNA from 1 species
UUCCUCUGUUCGGGGUCCCUGACUUCCCGCAAGAACUACCGUGGAACACCUGAGUACAGACUUAAUUCUAGAAGAACAAGAAGUGACUGUGUUGCUCAUGUGACAGCCGUGAAACACAGAAUUGACGGGAACAGCUGCGCUGGAUUUGGGCCUGUUGAGUGAGGGAUUGGAAAGGGACAGUGGCGUCUUCUCUCACUGAGUGAUGGGAAGCCCAGCGGGAGAGUAAGGGGAGUCGGGGGGCUCCUCUGACGUGUGUGCAUCCAGGCGAGGAUGCGGACCUCUGCAGUGAGCUGCUGCAGGAGUCCCUGGACACCCGGCGAGCACUUCCUGAGGCCUCGCUCUUCGAGGAGAGCACCGCGUCCUCUGUGUGGCUGGAGGUGGUGGAGAGAGCGACCAGGUUCCUCGGGUCCGUCGUGACGGGCCAAAUGUUGUCUGCCAUCCUGUUGUUGCUUCAGCUGUGGGACAGCGGGGCACAGGAGACUGACAAUGAGCGUUCCCACCCAGGGCACCAGCGUCCCGCUUUUGCCCUUGCUGCAAAGGUUCCAGAGCAUCAUUUGCAGGAAGGAUACGCCCCACUCCAAGGGCGACAUGCACCUUUUGUCUGGCCCUCUGAGCCCCAGCGAGAGUUUCCUGAGGUACCUCACCCUUCCACAAGACAACGAGCUUGCCAUUGAUCUGCGACAGACCGUGGUGGUCGUCAUGGGCCAUUUAGACCGUGUGACUACGCCCUGUUUGCCUCCGCUGUGUAGCGCUCCGACGUCUCAUAAGGUGUGUGCAAGAACCAUGUUCUGCAUGUGUUUUGUGGCUAGUACCACGUCUAGGUUCUCAUCCUGGGCCCGUGUGGAGACUUGCGUUGUCUGGUGUUGAUGGGGGAAGCUGGCUUGUGGUUUUAAACGUGUUUGCAGUUGAAGGUGUUCCCCGUGUGGAGAGUGAGUGAUGAGCCAGCUGAGGUGCACAGGCCUAGGGACCCAACCUGGGGGCCCAGGUUCCAGGUUCAGGUAGCACAGCCCCAGAGAGCUCCCCGUUAGCCACAGUCCCAGGCCCUCCCACCUUCUGCAGGGGGUUCCACAGCCUUUAUACUCUGAAGGCAGGCUGUCUUAGUAUGUAAUGCUGGUUAUAGUAGUGACAGUAUAGUUCUAUAUUCUAUCUGUCAUGUAAUAGUAAUGGUAAUAGUAGUGAUUUGCGUGUGUGGAGCACCUGUAGGGUGCAGGCCCGCUGAGGACCUCAUGCAUGCUGUUGUAUCUCAUUAUGUCAAUGAGAAAACUGCCUUUGGGAAUGGUGGUGAACUUUGCCAGGGUAUAACAGUAAUCUUAGUUUUGAAUCGAUUUUUCUAACAUUUUGUGUCUAAUAUGAAGAGUAUUUAUUUUGUUUUACAGUCAUUGAAAAAAAGGCCCCGCGCGGUGGCUCACGCCUGUAAUCCCAGCACUUUGGGAGGCUGAGGUGGACGGAUCACAAGGUCAGGAGAUCGAGACCACCCUGGUGAACACGGUGAAACCCUAUUUCUAUGAAAAAUACAAAAAAUUAGCCGGGAGUGGUGGCGGGCGCCUAUAGUCCCAGCUACUCGGGAGGCUGAGGCAGGAGAAUGAUGUGAACCCGGAAGGCGGAGGUUGCAGUGAGCCGAGAUCCCGCCAUUGCACUCCAGCCUGGGCGACAGAGCCAGACUUUGUCUCAAAAAAAAAAAAAAAAAGGAAUACAGUCACAUGGUUCAAAAAUCAAACCUAGGCAGAGACACACUUUUGCUUUCCCUGCCCACCCCUUCUACCCAGUUUCCCACCUGCUCCCUCGACUUUUCAGUCUCCUCUGUAACCUCCGUGUUCUCUGGAAUGAGUACCUAGUGGUAGCAGGUUGCAUUACUUGUGGUGUGUGUUUUUUACUAACCAUAUGUAUUGGAGUACUUUAUCAGAGUGUGGCUCUUUGUUUUUAUAAAGCAACUUAGUAUUCAGUGUGUGGAUGUGUGUUUUAGGUAUCUUUGUUUAGUGAGUCUCUUAUUGGUGGACACUUGGGCUUAUUGCCACAAUGUUGCUAUACAAAUAGUGCUGAGGGCCUGGUGUGGUGACUCACGCCUAUAAUCCCAGCACAUUGGGAGGCCGAGGUGGUUGGAUCACCUGAGGUUGGGAGUUUUAGAACAGCCUGGCCAACUUGGAGAAACCCCAUCUCUACUAAAAACUACAACAAGCGAUUAGCGCGCUGUGAGCACGAAUGCUGUCCAUACCAGCUACUCCCAGAGAGGCUGAGGCAGGAGAAUCACU